GCCAGUAUGGUGUAGUGGUUUGGAUGAUGGACUAGGACUCUGGAGAACAGGGUUUGAAUCCUGGCUCUGCCA